rnacentral:rRNA from 1 species
ACGAACGCUGGCGGCGUGCUUAACACAUGCCAGUCGAACGGAAAGGCCCUGCUUUUGUGGGGUGCACGAGUGGCGAACGGGUGAGUAACACGUGAGUAACCUGCCCUUGACUUUGGGAUAACUUCAGGAAACUGGGGCUAAUACCGGAUAGGAGCUCCUGCUGCAUGGUGGGGGUUGGAAAGUUUCGGCGGUUGGGGAUGGACUCGCGGCUUAUCAGCUUGUUGGUGGGGUAGUGGCUUACCAAGGCUUUGACGGGUAGCCGGCCUGAGAGGGUGACCGGCCACAUUGGGACUGAGAUACGGCCCAGACUCCUACGGGAGGCAGCAGUGGGGAAUAUUGCACAAUGGGCGGAAGCCUGAUGCAGCAACGCCGCGUGCGGGAUGACGGCCUUCGGGUUGUAAACCGCUUUCGCCUGUGACGAAGCGUGAGUGACGGUAAUGGGUAAAGAAGCACCGGCUAACUACGUG